AUGAACGCUGGCGGCGUGCCUAAUACAUGCAAGUCGAGCGAACAGACGAGGAGCUUGCUCCUCUGACGUUAGCGGCGGACGGGUGAGUAACACGUGGAUAACCUACCUAUAAGACUGGGAUAACUUCGGGAAACCGGAGCUAAUACCGGAUAAUAUAUUGAACCGCAUGGUUCAAUAGUGAAAGACGGUUUUGCUGUCACUUAUAGAUGGAUCCGCGCCGCAUUAGCUAGUUGGUAAGGUAGCGGCUUACCAAGGCAACGAUGCGUAGCCGACCUGAGAGGGUGAUCGGCCACACUGGAACUGAGACACGGUCCAGACUCCUACGGGAGGCAGCAGUAGGGAAUCUUCCGCAAUGGGCGAAAGCUUGACGGAGCAACGCCGCGUGAGUGAUGAAGGUCUUCGGAUCGUAAAACUCUGUUAUUAGGGAAGAACAAAUGUGUAAGUAACUAUGCACGUCUUGACGGUACCUAAUCAGAAAGCCACGGCUAACUACGUG
rnacentral:rRNA from 1 species